GUUUUUUUCUAGCUUCCAGACUGCCUAGUCGAGCAAAGCGGGCGGGAAGCAACUUCAAACAAACAAGAGCCAACAGAAAGUCACCGACUUCGUGGAGUAGUCUGCAUCAUUACACUUGCCACUUACUGUUGCUGGUCCAAGAAUGAUCUGGAACUACUAUGACUCCUGGUAUGUGAACAUGAACAUCUACGGUCCUAUGAGCUGACCACUGCAAACACAAGCCUGUCGAUCCACCUGCAGUCUGGUCUGAAUGAUACAGUCCCUCUUCCAGCAUACAAGAUGGGCGGCUCACUGCUGCUAACCCUGAAGCGGUUCAUUCAAGUGAGACAGGACUAAGAUGUGUCCUCUCCAGAGCGUCUCAGCAGGUGGCCUACGGGACCUUUUCCAGUUCCCACCUUUGAUUUUGAUGUUGAGGUGGAACUUAGAGAUGGGAAUGCGGAAUAUGAGAAGAACCACACACCCCUUAAAGUGACAAGAGACCUAAAGCAUGACAUUUUAGAAAAGCUUGCAUCUACUAUAUAUGGUUUUAAGGCUUACCCAAGUGAUGAAGACAUUGCAAUGGCUGCUGAGGCUCUUGUAGCCAAACAUCCCUGCCUGAAGGAAGCAGGAUCUGAGACUGGCUGGAAUGGAUGGAAAUGCAACCUCAAGUUCAAAAUGGGCAAAGAUGAGGCGUGCUGGAUGUCAGGAGGUCCUGUACAGACGAGUCUGAUAAGCCAGUGGGCCUCCUUGCUGUCAUCAGUGACCAUGACGCAGUCUAAAGUCCAGUUCACUACCAACCUGUGAGAGUCUCUGUCGUCAUUGAAAGUGAUGCCGGUGUCAGCCUCCCCAGACUUGGCGACGCCUUCCUGGUAAUCUUUGGACUGAUCUAUGCACUACACCUCAGCUAUCCCAAAGCACUGACCAACCAUUUGAAUUUAUUCAAAAGAUUUCACUUUUUUUUAAAGAAGGCUGCAGGGUUACCAGACUAGUUCAGUUUUCCUUUUGUCUGCUUACUGUAAUGCCUACUAAGUUACUGCACUACUCUACAGGUGUUACGCUAAUAGGCCCAAAAAACACAAUAUGCAUUGGUUCUCAUUAAAGUGAUGGUUUGGACUAAAAUUCACCCUAGGUUAAUUGCACCGUGACAACCAGUCAAAAACAUUGGCACUAACAUAACAUGUAUAUCUGGUAAAUUACACCACUAAUAAUUCCUGGAAUGUUACCACACUUCUUCAGUAGUACACAUAGGGUCUGUACUUGUGAACCAAGGCAUUGGAAUGUUUGUAAGUACACCUUUUAUUAAAAAUAGCACUUGCCUACUAGUUUCUGAUCUUCUGCUGCUAGCUACCGUUGUGCACUGCUUUUACUCACUUUUUCUGAAACAAGGAAGUGGUGUCUGCGCAGCGGAAGAUCGUUUCUUCUCUCUGCUACUCUGCCCAGGUGUACUACUGAAGAAGUGUGGUAACAUUCCAGGCAUUAUUAGUGGGGUAAUUUACUAGAUAUAUACGUUACAUUAACGCCAAUACUAACCUAAUCAGCGACUAGACCUAACACGAAUGUUCGACCAUUGCUAAAAAAAUGGUUAUGAGGGGGUAUUAUCGUGCAAUUAACCUAGGGUUAAUUUGACUCCAAACCAUCCAUUUAAUAUAAUGCUAAAAUAAGGCUACUGUUUUUGUAUGCUUUAUUGUUUUUCUCAACUGUGGGCUGCGCAAGGUGACCCAAAUUACACUGUGCAUUUGAUGGGUUAUACAUUUGCAUGUUAAACAUUUAAAAGAACUGUUCUUGAAGUCUAUAGAAUUUGUGAUUUCUUCUAAAUUACUGCCCUGUUGCCCUACUCAGGAAUUAAGCCAAAAGCACACUGGUGUUCUUUUAAAUCUGCAACGAAAGAUAAUUAUUUUUGUAUUUUUUGUUAUUAAUUGUUAGAAAUGGGUGAUACAUAUCUUCCCUUUGGCCUUAAGUGAGGAGGAACAUAUUUUGAAAAAGUAUAUGUUUUCUAUUUUAAUUUAUAAAUGUUUAUUAUUUAUUUUUCUAUUUAAUUUUAACAUUGCAGUGUGAAAGGGGAGCAGGCAAGAAUAAUAA